rnacentral:rRNA from 1 species
GCCUGGCCGUAAAUCUUGAUGCUCGAUAUUACCUGAGCGUCCGCCCGAGAACUACGAGCACAAACGCUUAAAACUCUAAGGACUUGGCGGUGCUCCAAACCCACCUAGAGGAGCCUGUUCUGUAAUCGAUGAUCCACGAUAUUACCUGACCAUUCCUUGCACGAAACAGCCUAUAUACCGCCGUCGCCAGCCCACCUUCCCUGACAGCCCAACAGUGGACGCAAUAGCCUAACCCGCUAGUAAGACAGGUCAAGGUAUAGCCUAUGGAAUGGAAGCAAUGGGCUACAUUUUCUAAGUUAGAACAUACGGAAAGGGAUAUGAAACUGCCCCUGGAAGGCGGAUUUAGCAGUAAAGUGGGACAAUCGAGCCCUCUUUAAGCCGGCCCUGGAGCACGU